rnacentral:rRNA from 1 species
AACGAACGCUGGCGGCAUGCCUAACACAUGCAAGUCGAACGAACCCUUCGGGUCUAGUGGCGCACGGGUUCGUAACGCGUGGGAACCUGCCCUUAGGUUCGGAAUAACUCCCCGACAGGGGUGCUAAUACCGGAUAAUGUCUUCGGACCAAAGAUUUAUCGCCUUUGGAUGUGCCCGCGUUGGAUUAGCUAGUUGGUAGGGUAAAAGCCUACCAAGGCGACGAUCCAUAGCUGGUCUGAGAGGAUGAUCAGCCACACUGGGACUGAGACACGGCCCAGACUCCUACGGGAGGCAGCAGUGGGGAAUAGUGGACAAUGGGCGAAAGCCUGAUCCAGCAAUGCCGCGUGAGUGAUGAAGGCCUUAGGGUUGUAAAGCUCUUUUACCCGGGAUGAUAAUGACAGUACCGGGAGAAUAAGCGCCGGCUAACUCCGUG